CAUACCUACGGGGGGCAGCAGUGAGGGAUAUUGGUCAAUGGGGGAAACCCUGAACCAGCAACGCCGCGUGAGGGAAGACGGUUUUCGGAUUGUAAACCUCUGUCCUCUGUGAAGAUGAUGACGGUAGCAGAGGAGGAAGCUCCGGCUAACUACGUGCCAGCAGCCGCGGUAAUACGUAGGGAGCAAGCGUUAUCCGGAUUUAUUGGGUGUAAAGGGUGCGUAGACGGGAAAUUAAGUUAGUUGUGAAAUCCCUCGGCUUAACUGAGAAACUGCAACUAAAACUGAUUUUCUUGAGUGUUGGAGAG
rnacentral:rRNA from 1 species